rnacentral:rRNA from 1 species
UUGAGUAGGGUUCUAAUAAUUACUUUAGUUUGGCGGUGAAAUAUUUAAAUUUUUGGUAAUAUGCUUUAAUCUAUUCAUUUUUAUAGGCUAUAAAAGUUUGGACUUAAAAUAGGAUUAGAUACCCUAUUAUACCAUUCUGAUAAAUUUUUGCUUGAUUAGUAAUCAGUUAUGCUCUUGAAACUUAGAGGAUUUGGCGGUACUCAAGUCUAGUUAGAGGAACCUGCUCUGUAAACGAUAUGCCACGUAUUAUCUUUCUCCCACUGGUGUUUCAGUUUGUAUACCGCCAUUAUUAAGUAAUAUCUAUAGAUAAGUAUUGAGAUAGAUUUGUUUAGGAUAUUAGGUCAAGGUGCAGCUUAUGUUGGAGUUGAAGUGGGUUACAUUCUUUUAUAUAGGUCGGAUGGGGGAUUUAUAAUCUCUUUGAAGUUGGAUUUAAUUGUAAUUUUGUUUUAAUAAGGCACUAUGAUAUUAGCUCUAGAGUAUGUACACAUCGCCCGUCGCUCUCAUUA